GAUGAACGCUAGCGGCAGGCUUAAUACAUGCAAGUCGUGGGGCAGCAUGAGUGUAGCAAUACAUUUGAUGGCGACCGGCAAACGGGUGCGGAACACGUACACAACCUUCCUUCAAGUGGGGAAUAGCCCAGGGAAACUUGGAUUAAUACCCCGUAAUAUUAUGGAGUGGCAUCACUUUAUAAUUAUAGCUCCGGCGCUUGAUGAUGGGUGUGCGCCUGAUAGGUAGUUGGCGGGGUAACGGCCCACCAAGCCUUCGAUCAGUAACUGGUGUGAGAGCACGACCAGUCACACGGGCACUGAGACACGGGCCCGACUCCUACGGGAGGCAGCAGUAAGGAAUAUUGGUCAAUGGACGCAAGUCUGAACCAGCCAUGCCGCGUGGAGGAUGAAGGUCCUCUGGAUUGU
rnacentral:rRNA from 1 species